UCUGACAGUAAAGAAUCUGCCUGUAAUGCAGGAGACCCAGGUUCAAGCCCUGG
rnacentral:tRNA from 1 species